rnacentral:rRNA from 1 species
CGGACGGGUGAGUAACGCGUGGGAAACCUGCCCUGUACCGGGGGAUAACACUUAGAAAUAGGUGCUAAUACCGCAUAAGCGCACAGCUUCACAUGAGGCAGUGUGAAAAACUCCGGUGGUACAGGAUGGUCCCGCGUCUGAUUAGCCAGUUGGCAGGGUGACGGCCUACCAAAGCGACGAUCAGUAGCCGGCCUGAGAGGGUGAACGGCCACAUUGGGACUGAGACACGGCCCAAACUCCUACGGGAGGCAGCAUG